rnacentral:rRNA from 1 species
GUGCCAGCAGCCGCGGUAAUACAGAGGUCUCAAGCGUUGUUCGGAAUCACUGGGCGUAAAGGGUGCGUAGGUGGCGUGGUAAGUCAGAUGUGAAAGCCCGGGGCUCAACCUCGGAACUGCAUCCGAUACUGCCAUGCUAGAGAACUGAAGAGGAGUGUAGAAUUCUCGGUGUAGCAGUGAAAUGCGUAGAUAUCGAGAGGAAUACCAACGGCGAAGGCAGCACUCUGGGCAGUUUCUGACACUGAGGCACGAAGGCUAGGGGAGCAAACGGGAUUAGAAACCCCCGUAGUCC